rnacentral:rRNA from 1 species
GACGAACGCUGGCGGCGUGCUUAACACAUGCAAGUCGAACGGUGAAGCUCCAGCUUGCUGGAGUGGAUCAGUGGCGAACGGGUGAGUAACACGUGAGCAACCUGCCCCUGACUCUGGAAUAAGCGCUGGAAACGGCGUCUAAUACUGGAUACGAGAAGGGUCCGCAUGGGCACUUUCUGGAAAGUUUUUCGGUUGGGGAUGGGCUCGCGGCCUAUCAGCUUGUUGGUGAGGUAAUGGCUCACCAAGGCGACGACGGGUAGCCGGCCUGAGAGGGCGACCGGCCACACUGGGCCUGAGGCAAGGCCCAGACUCCUACGGGAGGCAGCAGUGGGGAAGAUUGCACAAUGGGCGAAAGCCUGAUGCAGCGACGCCGCGUGAGGGAUGACGGCCUUCGGGUUGUAAACCUCUUUCAGCAGGGAAGAAGCGAAAGUGACGGUACCUGCAGAAGAAGCACCGGCUAACUACGUG